UUUAAAUACAAACAUGAGUUUCCGUGCUUAACUUUAAUCGUCCGUCUUAUUCUGUUUUUAUAAUUAGUAUUUUAUUGUUAUGAGAAGAUAAAACAUAAAUAGUACUUUAUGCGUGAUUUAUGUAAAAAAUUUAAAAAUAAGACGGACGAUUAAAGUUGAGCACGGAAAAUCAUGGCUGGCUGCACUUAAA
rfam:Oryza glaberrima chromosome 5 Oglab05_0136_1, whole genome shotgun sequence.